AUGUUUCUCAACUCCUAUUAUGUUCACAAAAUUCAAUUCUUGGUCCGCCCCUUCCCCAGACCCUGUGCAAGCGGGAGCUACAUGCACCGGGCAGCCCUUUUAUUUUUACUGGAAUUGGUGCAUAUUUUUUACAGUUUUUCAGAAUGUUUCAUGCAUAUGCUUACUGUCGGUGCUCAUCUAGAGUUUACCUAUAUAAUUGGUAGAUUGGUUUUGGUUCCUUCAUUUUUGGAAGUAAUGGACAAAAUAAACCUCAAAAGAAAAUUGCGAGAGGUGUGGCUUCAUAAUUUUCUAACUGAAUGGUUCUUGAAAAUUGUGGGAGGUGUGGCUUCAUAA
rnacentral:rRNA from 1 species